ACUCCUUUUCUUUUUGCGGAUACAGACUAACAGAGCUGCUACUCUGAAACAGAACAGGCUGUCCUGUAACUUGGAGUGAUGGUGGAGCACCCGGGAGUUCUGAAUUUGCCCUUAAACCUGCAAGCAGACUGAAUGUUUCUGCAAAAAGAAAAGGAGUACUUGUGGCACCUUAGAGACUAACAAAUUUAUUUGAGCAUAAGCUUUCGUAAGCUACAGCUCAAUGUUUCUGCUGUAGCUGCACACCUGGCUUCUUGAACUGAAGAGAUUUUCAGGAACUCCAACUUGUCAAAAAGACAUGAAAUUGUGUAGAAGAUCCUUGGGUCCAGUGUCUGUCAUCUUAGAUCUGCUUAGGCUUCAUCAGGGGAAAUUUGAGUUACAAGACAUCCAGUUAUGCUGGUGUUCCCUGAAUAUGAUAUUUGAACAUUGGACUAUAAACUAUGCACUAUUUCUGAAAGAUCUUUGUGCAACUACAAAGCUCACCAUCUCUGCUAUGAAUCUGCACCUCAAUGAAUUGAACUCAUGUCUGUAUGUAAAUUGAUUUUUUAACCAUACUUUCUCUCUCUUUUUUGUUUUUAAU